UACGUAGGGUGCAAGCGUUGUCCGGAAUCAUUGGGCGUAAAGCGCGCGUAGGCGGCCCGAUAAGUCCGCUGUAAAAGUCAACGGCUCAACUGUUGAAAGCCGGUGGAUACUGUCGGGCUAGAGUACGGAAGAGGCAAGUGGAAUUCCUGGUGUAGCGGUGGAAUGCGCAGAUAUCAGGAGGAACACCUAUAGCGAAGACAGCUUGCUGGGACGUUACUGACGCUAAGGCGCGAAAAGCGUGGGGGAGCGAAACAGGG
rnacentral:rRNA from 1 species